GGGUCUCUCUUGUUAGACCAGAUAGAGUCUGAGAACUCUCUGGCUAGCGAGGGAACCCAC
rnacentral:pre_miRNA from 17 species